rnacentral:rRNA from 1 species
AGAGUUUGAUCCUGGCUCAGAGCGAACGCUGGCGGCAGGCUUAACACAUGCAAGUCGAACGGGCACUUCGGUGCUAGUGGCAGACGGGUGAGUAACACGUGGGAACGUACCUUUCGGUUCGGAAUAAUUCAGGGAAACUUGGACUAAUACCGGAUAAGCCCUUCGGGGGAAAGAUUUAUCGCCGAUAGAUCGGCCCGCGUCUGAUUAGCUAGUUGGUGAGGUAAUGGCUCACCAAGGCGACGAUCAGUAGCUGGUCUGAGAGGAUGAUCAGCCACAUUGGGACUGAGACACGGCCCAAACUCCUACGGGAGGCAGCAGUGGGGAAUAUUGGACAAUGGGCGAAAGCCUGAUCCAGCCAUGCCGCGUGUGUGAUGAAGGCCUUAGGGUUGUAAAGCACUUUUGUCCGGGAAGAUAAUGACUGUACCGGAAGAAUAAGCCCCGGCUAACUUCGUGCCAGCAGCCGCGGUAAUACGAAGGGGGCUAGCGUUGCUCGGAAUCACUGGGCGUAAAGGGCGCGUAGGCGGACUCUUAAGUCGGGGGUGAAAGCCCAGGGCUCAACCCUGGAAUUGCCCUCGAUACUGAGAGUCUUGAGUUCGGAAGAGGUUGGUGGAACUGCGAGUGUAGAGGUGAAAUUCGUAGAUAUUCGCAAGAACACCAGUGGCGAAGGCGGCCAACUGGUCCGAUACUGACGCUGAGGCGCGAAAGCGUGGGGAGCAAACAGGAUUAGAUACCCUGGUAGUCC